GCCAAGAUACUCAAUCAGCCUAGUUGCCCAUUACUGGAAGAACAGAUAAAGAAAUGUGCAUAUACAGUGUGCUUUAGCCAUAAAUUUGAAUGAAAUCUUGUCCUUUGCAAGAACAUAGAUGGAAAAAGAAAGCGGAUGGAAUUGGAGGAUCUCAUCUGAAGCAGAAUACGUCAGACACAGAAAGACAGGCCUCACAUAUUUUCUCUUGUGAGUGGAAAUUGUUUAAAACCCUGGAAGUAGAAGACAGACUACUCUGGCUGCGAAGGGAACCACGAGGGAGGAGCGAGAAGAGGGGCGAGACAGGACAGAGGGAGGGCGGCUGUGACCAGCACACGGUACGUGCUUCCCGUGCGCAAGGCCCCGGGAGCUCAUCAGCUUGCGUAACCAUCACUUACAAUGAUAACCAAGGGGAGUGCUGAAGGCAGAAAAUCACUGAACUGGGGAGCCCAGAAAGCAGCAGCCGUAAAUACGAGAUGACCUUCCAAGAGCCGGAUGCCUGAAUUUACGACUUUGGAGACUACGAGACCAUGGGCCGCAGCAAGGGGAGCAUCGCGGCAGCAGGGGGCUGAGGAGGAAGGGAGAGCUCAUGGCCUUAAGUGAGGAGCGCAGCGGCCAGGCUGGACCUUCGCCGGCUCGCGGCAGGGCCUUCGCGGCGCCGCCCGCAGUAAGGCUCCGUGAGAAGAGCUGUGGACCAGGCCGGCGGCCCGAACGAUCCCGGGGCCUGAGGGCCGCUCCGGGACGCGCUCGAGGGCAAGGGGCGGGAGGCCAGGUCAAGGUCAGGCCCUGGGAAUAAGCCGGGGGAGGAGGAGCGACUCUGAAGGGGCGGGGCGACCGAUCGCGUCCCUGGGCAGGCACAGGGCACAGCACCGACUGCAAGCUAGGUUAAAGGCCACGUUUCGGGAUCCGGCAGGAAGCUCCUGUCCGUGGAGGGCCGCAGUCUAGCAUGUCCUGUCCUGUGUUCUUGACCACAAGGCCACCAUGCAGUGAGCAGCUGUCCUCCACCAGGCUCUUUUGCCUCAUGUUUCUGGAGUGGAGCAGCUGGCCAUGGACUGAACCCAGUGGAACUGUGAACCAAAACCAAACCUAAGUCCGCGCUGGAGCCCUGCUAUGUGUCCCUCCCGUCCGGCCUCUGCCUUAGAUGUAGCUUCAUGGCCUUUCUGAAUGAGCUGUCACCUUCUUUUUUCCUGUAAGUUUCAACCACCCAGUUCCACUAACUACAGCUCUGAAGACUGGGAAACUCCACAGCCAAGCUAAAUCAACCCAGAAGAGUAGAUCCUUCACGGAGAAAAAAGAUUGUCUGCAGCCGAAGAGAGGUAAAAGAGGGGAGGACUAUCACACAGGACAGAAGACUGUCCCUGUGCUUCCCUACCUUUCAGCACUGAGCUUCCACACCCUCAAGUCAUUACUUCUGGUUCAAGAUGGUGUGACUCACAUCAAAUGAAACAGGGUUAGAAGAGCUUUUAUAGAAAAAACUUCCAAAGUGAGUCUGAAGUAAAAAGUCUAACAGUGUCUUAAAUUUAUUCCUUGCUAAUGUAGAAGUUCAUCUAAUUAAAUUUGAUGUUUGGGUUGGAGUCAGUAUGGAGCACUUGCCUUACAUGUGGGAGCUCGGAGUUCACUACCCAGUGUUGCAAAAUAAAUAAAAAUGAAUGAAAGUCUUCUUUAUCACCUAGGAAUCAUGAGUGUUGAGCAAUUUCAUGGAAAGCCAAUAAUGCCCCCUUUCUGGAUUCAGCAUGUCAAAUCUGACUGCAGCACUGGAUGUGGAAUUCUAGGAUAUUGUCCACUAAGUAUUUUUAGUAUUUUCAUGGCAUACAAGGACCUCUGUAGGCUGCAAUCUAGUCCUGGGUUCACAAAAACUCAUUUGGUUAAAAUUUUAAAAUCCUAGAAACUCAGAUUCUCCUGCAAGGAAAAGAUCACCUCAUUUGAGAGAAAGGCCAAUGUACAGAAAUGUGCACACACAGCACACAGAUUUGAUGGAAUUCCCCACAAGGCACACAGUUCGCCAAUACUAUGUUGUUCCCACACCUGAAGCUGUUACGGUUCCCGGCUUUGGGCAAACGGAAGUUGGUGCUUACUGUCACCCAGAGUCCGAGGCUCCGUGGUCUCACUGGCAGAUGACAGGACACGACCAGGUUUGGAGCGACCUUUGUAACAGCUUCAGCUAAGUCUGAUUACUCCAAAUAUAUGGGUUCUGAAGCUGUGAUUUUGGACUCUAAUGCCUGUUUUGCUCUUGGAAGCAUCUUUAGUUUCUUGCUUUACUUUCUGCCUCAAAUUUGGACUUAGCUCUUUCAUCUGCUCCAAGGUUUCUGUCCAGAUUCACUCCCACAAAUCUCCAACAGAAGGUAACAAACAGCACAGCGACUCAGCAUUCUAAAUUUCAAUGUAAAAAAUAUGAAAAAUGGUUAAUGUAAGAUUCUUAUACAGGUGCCAGUUCUAUCUACCAGUAGUUAAUCAUGGGGAGGGCAACUCACAUUUUUAAUCAUUGUUCUUCAUCUUGGGUUUGUUCCAGUUCGGAAAGCGUGUGCUUCUCUGCUCUUUACAAAGUGAGGCGGUUCGGGUGCCAGUCUCUGAGGUCUCAUCCCAGCUUUUAUCCGGGUUUCUGGAGCAUCCAGGAGUCCCGCCAUGUGCAUCCUGGCUGAAUCAUUCCGGAAGGCUCUCAUGGAAGGCUCUCUCGGUAUCUUGCACAGAGGAGUCUCCUCACUUCUCCUCGAUGGCCUCCAAUGACAAAGGGGAAGGAGCAGCCAGUAUGAGGUCCGGACUCCAAUGAGUCUCCUCGGGAGCCAGCCCACGGGCUAGGGUCAGGGUUAGGGUUAGGAUCUGGCUACACAGAUGUUGCACAGGAUGAGCUGUCCACCCUGGACUCCGCUGAGGCAGCCAAGGGAGG
ensembl:lncRNA